UUAUAUUGUAUGUACCUGUAUUGUGUGUACCUAUGCUGGCUUAUACUGUAUGUACUUACACUGUACCAUUUAUGGUCGGAGCUGCCCUGCCCUGGCAUGUAGUCACAGUUAGGUAGAAGAGUUAUAAAAACUUUAGUAUUCAUCUGUCUUUUAUGGGAUUUUGGGUGGAAAAUUUAUUGGUCCAGAGCGGGGACAAGUCCUAGCUGUCAGAUAGCCACUCAUUGACCACUUCCUGUCAUCUCACAGGUGGUCCCCGAGGCUACCGAUUUCCCCACAAUCUACCAUCUGACGUCAAGGAGCAGCAGCCAGAAGACGUGUCGAAGCACAUUCUUCAGUGUCUCAAGGUAAAGCCAAAAGCUGUCAUGAUCAAAAAUGCAGGCUGCCCUUCUGUCCUGAGUCACAGGGGCCGUUUCUUCUGAAUGACUCAAGAUGGGAAAUCAUUCUUGGAGCUUCAGAAGAAAAGAACCCCAAAACCAGUGCAGCCGCCCAAGAAGGGAUUUUUUGUGGCUCAGCCAGAUGUGCUCCUGCCUCCCACCGAGACGCUUAGACGGAGGUGAGUUUGCAUUCCAAUGUC